rnacentral:lncRNA from 1 species
UCAAGAUCUUCCUGGAGAACGUCAUCCGCGACGCCGUGACCUACACCGAGCACGCCCGCUGCAAGACCGUCACCGCCAUGGACGUCGUCUACGCGCUCAAGCGCCAGGGCCGCACCCUCUACGGCUUCGACGGCUAGGCCGCGCCGGUGCAGUCGAAUCCACCUCCACCUCGCGCCGCCAGAUUCGUAGCAUAGCUAGCUAUGGUUGUUCAGUGUUCAUCGUCUUCAUUGUAAUGGCCGCAUCUCGCUGUUGUUGUUCAGUGUUCAGUGUUUUUUUUAAUGUUUAAUUAUGUUUAAGUGGACUUUGGCCGACGUUACCGUCAAUUUAUGUAUAAUUAUGCUUAAUUAAGUCAGUUUUGACCACAUCGGCAAAAAUGAGUAUGUCUCCCUUUGGGUGCACUUGCUGACCCAAAUGGAAAAGCGGACGCGCAUGUCCGCCUGGCCGACCAAAACGGAUGAAAAGCGAACAAAACGUGCGUCAGUUUGGGUCGGCGCGUUGGAGUUGCUCUUAUAAGCUUAUCAGGGUGCUCUCUUGUAUCCUUCGACCAUUUGUUGUCUUUUUCAGUGCUUGUAAUGAUGACCUUGUGUGAUCUCUGACUGGUUGAUGGUUUCGUUAAUUCAAAGCCCUGCUUUUCUUUGACCCUAUUUGUAAAAGAAAGGAAAAUACACCUCCUCCCGCCAAGUCCGAGCACCCUGCCAUGUCAGCAAUCCGCGCCACCCAUCUUCCCCCCACUCACAGCCAUUGAUCUCCCAUCUGACGGCUCACGUUCGCAUCACGCGGAUGACGCCCCUCUUCUCCCCCGAAAUAUCGCAGCCAUAAAUCCCCCACAAGCCACCACCACCGACCACACCACACGGCCGCAACAGCCACCACCAGACCAGCAGCGCACACACCAGCCAAGCCAAGCGAAGCUCGCCGGAGAGAGAAUUGUCGGAGAUGUCCGGCCGCGGCAAGGGAGGGAAGGGGCUGGGCAAGGGCGGCGCCAAGCGCCACCGGAAGGUGCUGCGCGACAACAUCCAGGGCAUCACCAAGCCGGCGAUCCGUCGUCUGGCGCGGCGUGGCGGCGUGAAGCGCAUCUCGGGGCUCAUCUACGAGGAGACCCGCGGCGUGCUCAAGAUCUUCCUGGAGAACGUCAUCCGCGACGCCGUGACCUACACCGAGCACGCCCGCCGCAAGACCGUCACCGCCAUGGACGUCGUCUACGCGCUGAAGCGCCAGGGCCGCACCCUCUACGGCUUCGGCGGCUAGGUCCAGUCGAAUCCACCUCGCGCCUCCAGCCAGAUUCGUACCGCAGCUAGCUAUGGUUGUUCAGUGUUCAAUCUCGCUGCUGUUGUUCAGCGUUCAGUGUCUGGAUGUACAGUACUAUGAUAGAAGGAAAAUCACAGAAUUUUACCCUCGAGUUCUUCUGCAAUAUCUUGCUCUGUUUUUUGUUUGUCAGAAAUCUUGCUCUGUUGUUAUGUGCUUGUGCGCAUUGUUGAAACUUAUCAGUGUGCGGUAGUUUUCGGUCGCUGUAGUUUUCUGCCCCCAAUCGAUCGCAUUGGCUUCAGUGUGCAGUAGAUUCCAACCAUCCCAGCAUGUACACGUAUAUACACGUAUAAUAAUACAGUCCAGAUGGACUAUGGAAGCAGUAUAAAUGAACAUUAGGAAACACCCUGCAUAACCUUUUUACUUCGAGUGAAAGUGGAUCAACAUUGUCAAGACUCAGGAGUGUCUUAGCUUUGAGUGCAUGUCGAUGUUACAAGCUUUAUUACAGAGUACUUAAAAAGAACAACAAAAACAUGUACAGAGCUAACCUUUCCAUUUGAGUGUCAAAGUGCCUACUCCUGGUUUCCCCCUCUCCAUCUCUGGUUCAUGAUCUAUCUCACUGAAUAUGUUAAUUCAUCAACAAAUAAUAUGUGAAUUCAAUGAAGUAAACACCACUGUUGUCAACUGCCAAGUAUUGAUUGUCUCUGCAAUGUACAUGAAAUUGGUCUGAUAUUGGGACCGAUUUUAUUGAAUGAAUAUUGCAGCAGUUGCAAAAUUCAGGGAGCAAGUGCAUCAUGUGCUUUUUGGCACUCUCCUGACAUGACAAAAAAAGUUCUGCAUUGUUGAGAUGUAAACUUUUUCUUCUGAAAAACAACAGUCUCUUGGAACAGUUCGAGCGCAAAAGCAAUCUUCUUGGUGUAAUCGUGUGCCUGAUAUUAUUCAUGAAAAAAAUGUUAAUUGGAGGGAGCAUACAUCAGAUGAAAACAUAGAAAGAGAUCUAGUGGCAGAUGUUUGCAUUAAUCAGAUCCAACGCAAUUGCAUUUACCAAAAUCCCUUGCAUUAAUGGAUCAAUUGUGAUCAUAAGCCCCUAAUAGUUCGUAGGGUAGGAACUAUUGUCAGUAGGGUCCUCACACCGACCGCGAUGGCUAGUAUUUUGAAUGUCUUGCUGGAAGUUUUGCCUUUAGAAUUGGAGAUAAAUGACUGGUGAUGGCCAAAUGGAGGCAAAGAUGGAUGAUGGUGUCGCUGGCCAAGUUUUGACCGUUGAAGUUGAUCGUACUAUCUUUCUAACCAGAAGGAAACAUCAAUAUUAACUCUGAAUUUCAAAGCUGCUACAAGUGACAACAAGAAACAAGACUAUUAUGUGUCUACAAUCAUCUUGACAUUGCAAGCUAUGCUAAAAGUAGUACACAAGAUGCAAACAAAUUAAUGGCCUUUACAGAGGAAAAGGAAUCGGUCUCCCCAGGAUCUACAAAACAUGUACCGAGCGUGUCAAAAUGUGCACUCCUAAUUUCUCUUCAGGAGAAAGGAGAAAAGCUGCAGAUGAUACUGAAGGUACAGAUGAGGAAGAAGAAUUGCAAUACUUCAUUGUAGUUCCAACGUUUCUCAUCACAAAAAAGGAGGUCGAGCAAUUACACACAAACCCCUUUAUCAGUACACAACACAAGGCAUUACAAACAAAUUAAAGAGUAUGAUGUUACCAAAGUUUAAUCCUCCAUCCUCUAAAAAGAUAGGGAUUAAGCUUUUAUUCAUGCAGCAGAUCCACCGAAACUUAAUCGUAAGAAAAUUCACGGUAUGCUAGUUCAUCCAAAACUUAACAUUGUGCUAUUUUUACUUGGCAUAGUGUUGGGAAUGUCUAUUUUUAAGUUGAUAUGCAAUUUUUUCUUUCUCUCAACUGACAAUAACUGUAGCUGCACAUUUUAAGAGUCCUGACUCGGUAAACAUAGAAUUCUUUGCAAGAUUGAAAGAUAGCAGUUCCAUUUUCCAUCAUCUAGAACUCAACUUAUAGUAACAUAAGAAAGAUGUAGGUGAGGGUCAAAUGGAGGCACAUAUGGAUGGUGUCGCUACCUAAGUUUUGACCAUUCAAGACGAUCAUACUUACUAUCCUUUUAACAUGUGGUUCGUUUAACUGCUGAGGAUAACCCUGAAGUUCAGAGCUCCUGCAAGUCAGACAACCAGCAACUGGACUAUCUUGUUUCUGCAUCAUUUUGCAAGCCAUGCUAAAAGUAGGUCUAGCUCUUACACACUAAUGGCCUUUACAGGGGAAAAGUAAUCGGCCACCCCAGGAUCUACAAAACAUAUAAAGAGCAGUGCUAAUCUUUCCAUUUCCCAGCGUGUCAAAAUGUGCAGCUCCUAAUUUCUCUUCAGGAGAAAGCCAAGAAACUGCGGAUGGCACUGAAGGUACCUGUAGAUGUUGCCAACGUUUCUCAUUGUAAUUGACUUGAUUCUGAAUGAAGCUAAUUCAGAUGAUGUAAUUCCCUUACCCCUGUUGAUCCAUGUCAUGUCAAUGGAUAUGUUAAUUAAAUGUAGUAAACACCAUUGCCGUCAAGUAUUGAUUUUCUCUGCAGUGUGACAUGAAACUGGUCUGGCAUAUAUACCAAUUGUACUUAAUUAAUGAAAUUUGCAGCAGUUGCAAAAUUCAGACAACGUAUCUGUUCUUCUCCAGGAAAAUAGCAUAUGCACCAAUUGUACUGAAUGAAACAGGCUUUUUGGCGCCUUCCUGAUGCGACAAAUAAAUUCUGCAUUAUUGACGUGUAAACUUUUCUAGACGGAGCACACAUAUCUGUUCUUCUCCGGGAAAAUAGCAGUAGUCUGGAAUGGUAGUUCAAGCACAGAAGCAAUCUUCUUGAUGGGGUCAUCACAUCCAAUGCUUUUACAUAAAACAUACCACAACAGAUUGAAAACAUAGAAAGAGAUCUGGUGUUACUUGCAUACAUUAGAUCCAAUGCUUUUACAUAGAACAAAUCCCUUGCAUUAGUUGAUCAAUUGUGAUCAUAUUAACUGAUGGCCAAAUUCACUCGCACUACUGAAAAACAUGCCAGUGAAAUACACUUACACACUUGCAACCUCUGCUGACUCUGCUUCCUCUACUUUGCUCAGCUAAGCAACACUAGCACUGGCUGCAAUGCAGAUUGCCGACUCUGUUUCCUCUGCUUUGAUCAACAAGGCUGCACUGCUGAUGAUUUCUUCCUCUGCUUCGAUCACCCGAGCACUCAUCCGUGGAUUUGCAUCGCCUGAGCAAAGUCCCGUCGACGAGCCAUCUCGAUGCGGUGAGCUUGAUAACGCCAUGCUUGCUGUCUUGCUUGGAGCAGCUCCUCAGGGGACUUGGUCACGUCCGAGUGAUGGAUCCAGGGGUCGUUGAACUGCACAGUGUCCGCCAUCUGCUCCACCUUUCGUCGGGCCUCCGCUCUGCUACGCUCGAUGUCCCGCCGACGGCUGGCCUCUUCUUCGGAGGCAGGGUGCGCCCAAUCCAUGGCGAGGCGAGCGUUCUCGAUCAGUUGGCGCAUGCUUAUCGGCGGCUUCGAUUGCGUCGCGCUCUCCGGAGAUUCGGCGAUCUGGUUCUUGAUCACGGAGGAGUGGAGCGGAUCCCUGUCGCUGCUGGGACACGGCAGCUUUGUGCCCUUGAUGUUGGCGGCGACCGCGGCACGGAGCUCACCCCCGGAGCAGGCACCGCGUGCGCGCUUCGCGGGCGACUGCCCGUCGCGCAUGGACACGGGCCGCUUCGGCGUCUUGGCAGCCGCGGGGUUGGCCAUCAAGGCAGGGUUUAGGCGCACGCGGGAGCAACUGGAGUGCAGGUCAGCGGCGCUACGGCGCGGGAGCAGAGCAGGCGGAAGCACCGUGGUGCCGGCCAUGGCCGCGGCCGCGGAGUCGCGAGAGCAAUGAUCAGACGACGAUCACACGAGCACGGGUCCGGCAGUGGGAGGGAGGAAGCGAUGCGUGGAUCGGGAAUUGGGGGAGACGGGGCGAGCAAGAAAGAAGAGACGCGGGAGACGGGGCAACUGGCGGCAACCACUAUAUCAAUCUACAGUUUGAAUCCGAGUUGGCCCAGGAUUUGAACAUUUACUAGCCUGAUGACGCUAUCUUUCCAACUGGUAGUACUACUCGUAGUCCUCAACUUGUUUUACCAACAACACUUCCGCGUCCUGAAACAAAACUGUUUUCAAUCUAAAAAAAGCAAAAAACUGUUUUCUGCAUUCAGUGUUUUCAAUCUAAAACAAAACUGUUCAGCGUUCAGUGUUUGGAUGUACAGUACUACUAUGAUAGAAGGAAAUCGCAGCAUUUUACCCUCGAAUUCUUGUGCAAUAUCUUGCUCUGUUUUUUGUUUGUGAGGAAUCUUGCUCUGUUGUUAUGUGCUUGUGCGCAUUGUUGAAACUUAUCAGUG